rnacentral:lncRNA from 1 species
UAAUUAGUAUCUUUGCCAUUUGAUGUAUAAGAAUCAUCCAUACAUAGAUUCAUUUGUCCUGAAAGAUUUCUUCCAAAGAUUGACUUUCAGGGCAUAUUUCCAACAAUCUCCCACUUGCACUAAAGUCAAUCACUAGUGUAUCUUAUACAUCUUGUCGAGAGAGUUUAUGCUCGUAGGUUAACUUGGUUAUGUAUUAAUCUCUUUUAUAUUUAAAAGGGUUUACUUAUCAAAUGUUUCCAAAACAUUUGAUGAUGUCUCUUUAUUGUGUUCGAAUACUUUGAUGAGACCUUGAUUCCAUGGUUUGAGCUAUCGCCCCAUUACGUCGUAGUACUCUACUAACGACCUUAUGGUUUGGAUUCAAUCAUGGGUUCUGAAAGAACCCCUUUCAUUCAAAACACCUUUUGAAGCAGUUUCUAAAACUAUAUAUCUACAUAUAUUUCGUUUGUAUACUUUAUACAAACUUUGCUCCAAGCUUGAGACCAUUGUAGUACAAUACUAACAAUUCAUUCAUAUGAUUAGUACUUCAUCCAUUAUGAAGUUCCAUUUGUUAAAAUGGCUUAUUUUCACUUUGGUUAACAACCUAAGUGAAUGCACUCUUCCAGAGUCCCACUCUGAUGUUUCUUUCUUAAAGGCAAUAAUACUCUAUCAGUUGCUUUGGUUCUGAUCCUGGGAUAUAGUAAUAUCUUAAAGUGAUAAACUCAGUGGUUUCUUCACCUUUGGAUAUCUACUUCACAAGUCAACAAAUGUGUCCCUUUUGUGAUUUUAUGACACAUUCAUUAUAAGGGUUAUGAAAGUGAUUUCUUAUCACAUAGGAAAAUGCUUUCUUAAAUCUUCAACAUUUGAGAUUUAAUUCCCAUAUAACAUUAUUGAGAUAGCCUUGCUAUAUCAGUAAGUCUAAUUUUAAGUCUAUACUUCAAAAUUGACCGUGUCAUGUUUUGUCAUUUUCGAGUAACAUCUAUGUUUCAUCAAGUCUAUCAAAUAGACUUUAUUCACAUCUUGUUGCUCAAAUUAUGACAUCACUCCCACUGGCCUUGUUGUAACUUAGCAUUCAUUCAAAAAUAACAAUUAAAUUUUCUUGAUUUGAAUGCAUAUUGCUCUCACUAACUUGUCUUGGAUCCAUUGAGAAUCAUUGAGAUCCAUUAGCUUAUUGAUGAUGUCUCAACAAUUUUGAGACCAUCAACAACCCUAGCUAACACAAGUUAUUUAAACGAAUCACAUACAAAAGAAUUCCUUCUAAAGUAAUUCCUUUUGAAUAUGUGACUUGUUUUAUCAAGUCUAUUCAUUUAAAUUAUACGAUGUGUCAUACACCAUACUUCAAGUUUUAGUCAUACUAAGACCUUUAAUGUAGUCAUAUAAGAAUUAUCCAAUUCCUUAGUGGAAGCAUGGCUCCUACCAAGGAUAUAGAUACUCAACCGUUCCUUCUAGGUGGUUGAUAUAAUUCUUUAUCAAAACUACAUAGAGCAAUAUCGUUACAUGAGGUGUUGAAUUUGGAUUGUCUUGUUGUUCAACCAUAUGUUGUGACUCAUUUUGAAACUUAUUCCCUUUUUGUUUCAUCAACUUGUCCAUAUGCUUUGUUAUUAGCAUGUUCUCAUAAAAGAGAAUGAUGGACAACUCCCA